rnacentral:rRNA from 1 species
AUUGAACGCUGGCGGCAGGCUUAACACAUGCAAGUCGAACGGUAACAUAAAGAAGCUUGCUUCUUUGAUGACGAGUGGCGGACGGGUGAGUAAUGCUUGGGAAUCUAGCUUAUGGAGGGGGAUAACUACGGGAAACUGUAGCUAAUACCGCGUAGAAUCGGGAGAUGAAAGUGUGGGACCUUCGGGCCACAUGCCAUAGGAUGAGCCCAAGUGGGAUUAGGUAGUUGGUGAGGUAAAGGCUCACCAAGCCGACGAUCUCUAGCUGGUCUGAGAGGAUGACCAGCCACACUGGGACUGAGACACGGCCCAGACUCCUACGGGAGGCAGCAGUGGGGAAUAUUGCGCAAUGGGGGCAACCCUGACGCAGCCAUGCCGCGUGAAUGAAGAAGGCCUUCGGGUUGUAAAGUUCUUUCGGUAGCGAGGAAGGCAUUUAGUUUAAUAGACUAGGUGAUUGACGUUAACUACAGAAGAAGCACCGGCUAACUCCGUG